rnacentral:tRNA from 1 species
UGGGGUGUGGCUCAGUGGUAAAGUGCUUGCCUCCCAUGUAGGGGGCGCUGGGUUCCAUCCUCAGCACCACAU